GCGAAACCUAAACGCAGACCAACCUUUUUCUCUGGCUGCCUAAUCGCAACCAGCGUCUGACCGGUCCGAGCCCGUAGGGUCGAAUCAGGCGUCGCAAAUCGGGAUAAGCCCCGCUCUCUGCUCGGAAGAUCGGGGACGAAAACCGCACGAGCUGGUUCCGCCGUAUCCUGCCCGUAAAACCCUCCGAAGCUUUAGCGUAGGAGGGUGGGAGACGGCGGGGCGAGAGCAAAACACGAGGCUACGCACGUAGUGACCGAGGUGGAUCACUUUCGGACGGGGGUUCGAUUCCCCCCGCCUCCACUC
rnacentral:tmRNA from 1 species